UACGUAGGGGGCAAGCGUUGUCCGGAAUCAUUGGGCGUAAAGAGCGUGUAGGCGGCUCGGUAAGUCCGUUCUGAAAGUCCAGGGCUCAACCCUGGGAUGCGGAUGGAUACUGUCGGGCUCGAGUCCGGAAGAGGCGAGUAGAAUUCCUGGUGUAGCGGUGAAAUGCGCAGAUAUCAGGAAGAACACCUAUGGCGAAGGCAGCUCUCUGGGACGGUACUGACGCUGAGACGCGAAAGCGUGGGGAGCGAACAGG
rnacentral:rRNA from 1 species